CCAGAGCUCCCACCUCGCCUCUCCCUAGUUGCACCUGUUCGCCCUGCUCUCUUGUUUCCUCUGAUUCUCCAGCAGCAGGGCCCAGUGCCGGGUGCCGACCACCGCCACCAUGGGGAAGUGGGUUGGACGUGACAAAUAUGAGCCUGCGGCCGUUUCAGAGCAUGACAAGAAAAGGCCAAGAAAGAGAGGGAUAUAGAUGAGCUGAAUAAAGAAGUGUCUAUGGAUGACCAUAAACUUAGCCUUGACGAACUUCAUCGCAACUACGGAACAGAUCCUGGCUCGAGCUGGUCCCAACGCCCUCACUUCGCCUCCCACCACCCCCGAGUGGGUCAAAUUCUGCCGGCAGCUGUUUGGGGGGCUCUCAAUGUUACUGUGGAUUGGAGCGAUUCUCUUUCUUGGCUUAUGGCAUCCAAGCUACCACGGAAAAGGAACUUCAGAGUGAUAAUCUGUACCUCGGUGUGGUGCUGUCUGCUGUCAUCAUCAUCACUGGCUGGUUCUCCUACUAUCAAGAAGCUAAGAGCUCAAAGAUCAUGGAAUCCUUCAAAAACAUGGUUCCACAGCAAGCCCUGGUGAUUUGAAAUUGUGAGAAAAUGAGCAUAAACACGGGGGAGGUGGAUGUUGGGGACUUGGUAGAAAUAAAAGGCGAGGAUUGGAUCCCUGCUGACCUCAGGAUCGUAUCUGCCACCAGCUGCAAGGUGGAUAACUCCUCACUCACCGGUGAAUCAGAGCCCCAGGCCAGGUCUCUGGACUUCACGAAUGAAAACCCCCUGGAGACAAGGAACAUUGCCUUCUUUUCAACCAACUGCAUCGUCAUGUACACUGGAGACCACAGUGUCAUGGGAAGAAUGGCCAUGCUGGCCUCUGGGCUGGGAGGCAGCCAGACUCAGCACUGCAGAAAUCGAAUGUUUUAGUCCACUCAUUACGGUGUGGCCGUGUUCCUGGGGGUGUCUUUCUUCAUCCUCUCACUGAUCCUUGAAUAUACCAGGCUUGAGACCAUCAUCUUCCUCAUUGAUAUCGUUGUAGCCAAUGUGCCCGAAGGUCUGCUGGCCACUGUCGGUGUUUCUGACCCUCACUGCCUAACGCAUUGCCCAGAAAAACUGCUUAAUGAAGAACUAAGAGGCUGUAUCCACAUCCACCAUCUGCUCCCAUAAAACUUGAACUCUGACUCAGAACCAGAUGGCGGUGGCCCACAUGUGGUUUGGCAAUCAUAUCCACAAAGCCGACACCACGGAGAAUCAGAACAGUGUCUCCUUCACCAAAUCUUCAGCUACCUGGCUCGCCCUGUCCAGAAUCGCAGGGCUUUGUAAUAGAGCCGUAUUUCAGGCCAACCAGGAAAACCUGCCUAUCCUGAAGUCAGCUGUGACUGGCGAGCCUGCGAGUUGGUACUCAAAGUGUAUCGAGCGGUGUUGUGAGUCCUUGAAGGAGAUGAGAGAGCGGUACCCCAGAAUCAUCGAGAUACCCUUCGACUCCACCAACAAGUACCAGUUGUCCAUUCGCAAGAACCCCAACACGGCUGAGCCCCUGCUGGUGAUGAAGGGGGCCCCAGAGAGGAUCCUGGACCGCUGCAGCUCCAUCUUGCUCCACAGCAAGGAGCAUGGUACAACAUGA